ensembl:snoRNA
UGGGUUGAUGAUGACUACUGGUGGCAUAUGAGUCAUCUACAAUGAAUAUGUCUCUGGAACUCUGAGGUGUGUCACAAAAGAAAUCUAGCCCAU